rnacentral:lncRNA from 1 species
UGACACCAGAGCCGAGUGCCUGUCGCCAUGCCUCGGAAAAUUGAGGAAAUCAAGGACUUUCUACUCACAGCCCGGCAGAAGGAUGCCACAUCUGUCAAGAUCAAGAAAAACAAGGGUAAUGUAAAGUUCAAGGUCCACUGUAGCAGGUACCUCUACACCCUGGUUAUCACAGACAAUGAGAAGAAGAUGAAGCAGUCCCUGCCCCCAGGUUUGGCAGUGAAGGAGCUGAAAUGAACCGGACCUCUGCAUGUGACUAUUAAAAACC